ACCGGUGGCGAAGGCGGCCCCCUGGACGAAGACUGACGCUCAGGUGCGAAAGCGUGGGGAGCAAACAGGAUUAGAUACCCUGGUAGUCCACGCCGUAAACGAUGUCGACUUGGAGGUUGUGCCCUUGAGGCGUGGCUUCCGGAGCUAACGCGUUAAGUCGACCGCCUGGGGAGUACGGCCGCAAGGUUAAAACUCAAAUGAAUUGACGGGGGCCCGCACAAGCGGUGGAGCAUGUGGUUUAAUUCGAUGCAACGCGAAGAACCUUACCUGGUCUUGACAUCCACAGAACUUUCCAGAGAUGGAUUGGUGCCUUCGGGAAC
rnacentral:rRNA from 1 species